rnacentral:pre_miRNA from 1 species
CACCUGAGACUGGGUGGAAGAAAAAUGAUGACGUCUCAAUUUUUGAGACGUCGUCGUGUUUUUCCACCCAGUCUCAGGUG